CCUCGUUAAAAACCUUCCUUUGGAAAACCCAGUGGGACAAAACCAAAGGUUAGGAAAAGAGCACACACAAGCUACUUGCCUAGAUGAUGAUCAGCUUGAAGGUGGAGUAGCUUGAAUGAUGGUUAAGGUGUCUUGGAUGAUCAAGCUUCGGCCAAGACUAAUGUAUUCUUCUUGUUUCCAAAUGUUCUUCAAGGUUGCAUCCUCAGCUACAAGCUCUUCAGGUUCAGGUUCAUGCUUCCAGUCCUUGGUGCUUUCCAUGAUCAUAUCAUCCCCUCCCACUUCAAAAAGAUUUGUCCUCAAAUCUGUGUUACCUUGCGAGCCUCUUUGAUCGGCAUUGUCGCUGACUGUUUCUAUUAGGUAGAAGGGACUGAUCCAUUUGGCUUUCCUCACUCCUGAGGCAUUACUUAAACCUGAUACAUUGAAACAAGACAAGUUAACACAAGCAAAAUUAUCAUAGAGUAAGAGUCUUAUCCCAAAGUUGUCUUUUCUCGGUUUUGGCUUGUAUGCUGCAUCUGGAGGUGCUUCUUUGAUGAGGAUGAAGCAAGUGACGUCCUGAUGUCUCUCCUGGCUUAGAUCAGGCGGCUUGAAACGUUUGUCUUCCUCACGCUUGUUCUUUGUCUUUGCAUUCUUCAAAGCUUCCAUAUAAUCUGCACAUGACUCUUUUGGCAAAAACAAGUGCAUCAUAUCUGUGUAAUAAAUAAAAGAACUCUUGUAAACAUGAUUAGUUACCUUAGCAUGCUCACCUGGUCGCCAUAGAUAGGAUUGAGAUGUUCUAAACUCAGAAAAGUUCAGACAAAGCAAACACAGAAUCACCCGACUUGUAGAACCCAUAACUCUUUCAUUUGAGAAGCUUUGGACAUGAUUCCAGUUCGACGUGAGACCCUGAUGAGUGUAGUUUCCAUUGCAGUUGAGUUUGUUGCUUAACUCCUUCUGGUUGCUGAGAUAUGAUCCUCGGACUGCUCCUAUGUCAAAGUUGGCGGCUAGACAGCUUCCAUGAUUUGAUUGUUGCAUCUCCAACUUAGCCAAGGACUCAUCAUGGAUACUCUGAUCAUUAUAGCCCCUUUCUUUACCUGUACCUUUUUCAGCUUGUUUUUGACAAGUCAAGUGUGUUAUCAUGUCAAAGAAAGUGUUGUAGACCAGAAUGUCUCCAAAGCACAAAACAGCAUGAUUCCUCCAUCUAUUAUGCAUAUCAAAAAAAAUAUUGCAGACCCAAAUAUCAUCAAGGAUCAAGUUCAUACAUUCAGAAUCAGUGAACUCUAGUUUCAAUUGUGCAACAGGUUUAUCAAAGAAAGUGUUAUACAUUAGAAUAUCCUCAAAGAACAACCCUACACGUUUAGAAUCAUUUUUAGCACACAAACAAUCAAGCUCAAACUCAAAGAUAUUUGCAGACUUCACAAUUUCAACCCUAACAUCAGAAUGAUGAAAUUUCGGUUCAUGCAACUUCCUAGGUUCUUUCAAAACAUAUGUGGAUGCAAGAAAAUAAUCAGAGAUCAGUUCAUGCCUAGGAAAGUUCACAACAAAACUAUUUUCUUCAGUUCUAGCAAACAAAUCAAAAGGUUUUCUAAAAUAGAACUCGGUUGGCUUAAAAACAGGUUUUAAAAUCUUUUCAUGGUGAUUCAUAAAUUGUUCAAAACUCAAAACAUGACCAGAAAAGUUUUUAUUACCAUAUUGAAAAUAUUUUUGAUCAAAAAGUUUAUCUGGUUCAAGUUCUUUGAAAGAUUUAAGCAUUCUGUCAUAAACAGAGUUUGAAACACAAAAAUCUUUAACCUUUUCGAGACCAAAACGCUUCACAUCCUGAGUAGUAACCACAACAAACAGUUCAGGCACAGAAGUAACCAUAUCAAACUCCUUACAGUGCUUUUGCAGGUCAUAAGACAAGGGUUCAUGAAUAGUUUCUGAUUGCAAGUUUUUAUGCUGUUCCAACUCUUCUCCUUGUGUUGACUGCUCUGGUUCUUUCUCUGCUGAGUCUUCUUUUGCAACCUGUGACACUGAAACAAGGCUACUCGGUUGCACCGGUUUAAGACAAGUUAGCUCAUCACAAGAAUUAUUGAAAUUCAAUUCAGACUGAGGUAAGGAAAGAGAACACUCUUGUUCUGUCUCAGAUUUUUCCUUUUCCAUAGAUGAUUCAGUUUGGACUUCUUGAAUUGUUGCAGCUGAGUCUGGUUCUGCAUCAUUGAGUUCUGAGACAGUAGCAACUGGUUCUUGAUUCUUUGGGAGCUUCUUCUGCUUGUCUAAGUGCUCGCUGGUCUUAAGAAUCUCCUUAACAAGGCUGCUGAUUUCUUUCUCAUAAUCAGCCAUCUUGGUUUCUGAUUUUUCACUUUUGAAGUCUGUUGCGGAUAUGACUUUCUUCUUUGGAGAUUUCAGAGAAGUGUGGCCUUUGGAUGCAUACUUCUUCCUUAGUAGCAACUUCAGAUCUUCCCAAGUGGUGAUAGCUGGUUCCUUGUAGUACCUGCGAUCAUCUUCUUCUUGCAACAACCACUUAAAAACGUUUCCUUUGAGCUGAGACAUCACAUAAGCCAAUGCUUCUCUCUUCAGGAUUUUGUUGUAGCACAGCCACUUCUCCAUUGUUCUUUCCCACUUUAAAUAAUCACCUUCCCCUGUAAAAACAUAAAGUUGAGGCUUAGUGACAAUUUGAUUGUAAGAAGAAUGAAUAUUUGAUUUAGGAGUGCGAGAAGCUUGAUGUGGUCUGCUCGAAGUGUGGGCUGGCUGUUUGUAAGACUGUUGUCCACGUCCUGCUUCCUCUUCCUUAUACCACUUAUGCUUGCUUGACUUGUUUUGAACAGAAUCUGGUGGUCUAGGCUCAAGCUUUUGUUUGUCCAUUCUCUUUUUAUUUUGCUGCCUAAGAUCAUCAGUUUGCUGCAGAAACUUUUGUCUAAGCUCCUUUCGAAAUUCACCCAUGUUGGUAUCCAACAUCUGCUGCAUUUGAGCAUUCAUAGAUUUAAGUAACAGCCUUUCUUCCUUAGUGAGUUUUCCUUUCUGAUCUCCUGCCAUUGUACCUGAGACAGAAAACAACACACAGCAGUAACAAGUUCUACAGAGAAAACAAAAACCAAUUUGCAAAACCAGAAACAGAUUCAAAUUGAAACUUAAAACCUUAGACAAUUCUUAGAACAAAUUCAAAACUCAACCAAUGAUUUAAAACAAAUCAAAACUAAUCAGAACAGAAUUGAUAAAUCUCAAACCUAACAGAUCAGAUUGAUUUUCGAUCUAGACCACAAAAAUAGAGAGAUAGAUUUCGAUUUCAGAUUCAAGAGCAGAUUUUUCAAAAGAAAAAUAACAAAAACGAAAUCAAUCAAACUUGCACUGCAAGGAUCAGGUUUCAAGAGUUCAAACAACACAAGAUCAGAGAUGAUAUGAUAACAGAUGAUAAGAUUUAGAUCAAGUAAGAACAGAUCUAAAACAAUAAGAACAGAUCGGAAUCACACAAACAGAUUUAGAUCAACACAAUCAGAGAACUUGAUCAACAAGGAUCCGAACAGUCUAAUACCCAAAACAAGAUCUAAUCAACCCUAAUUCGACAGAUUCUUACACAAGAAACACAGAUCAACACGAAAUCAAAGAGUAUAUGAAGAGACUUCAACAGAUUCGUGAUCAAAACACUCAGAUUUAUCAGAUUUCAACAAUAGAAACACAGAUCGAUCAAAAUCACAACAGAAUAUGAAGAGAUCAAAUCUAAAAUCAGAGAGAAAAAUCAAACACUUCCCUUCCAGAGUUGCUCUGAUACCACUUGAUGAGAUCCUAGGAUGAUGCUCUGGAACAGAUGGGAUAAUCCUUGCAGAAACGAAUCAAAAGACUCAAGCUUCUCAAGGUAUGUGGAUCGAAUGGUGACACAAGAGGCUGCGGAAAGGCUUCUUGAUACUCCUAGGCUUAGAUCGGAUAUGACACACCUCUCUAAAGCCCUUGGGCGUUGGAUAUUACACACCAACAGACUGGAUAUUACACACCAGACACUCACUCACGACAAGAGAGAAAAGAACCAAAAGGUUUUGAUAAAAGAUUGCUUAAUGAUAGAAGAAGAUGGCUACAAGCUUAUAUAGAGAAGGCUGGAACAGGCUCCACUUCUCGAAUUCAUUAAAGGGAACAGGCUCCCUUGGUAAUCUAAAAACAAGACUAAGACUUAUUCAAAUUUUAAAAGAGUUUCGAAAACUAAAUAACAUAUAAGCAUAGCUUAAAAUAUAAGAUAAGGUCUUCAUGUGGACAGACCAAGAUCAAUCAUCUAGGAGAUAGGAGAAGUAGACUUGUGGCCUCGUUAAAAACCUUCCUUUGGAAAACCCAGUGGGACAAAACCAAAGGUUAGGAAAAGAGCACACACAAGCUACUUGCCUAGAUGAUGAUCAGCUUGAAGGUGGAGUAGCUUGAAUGAUGGUUAAGGUGUCUUGGAUGAUCAAGCUUCGGCCAAGACUAAUGUAUUCUUCUUGUUUCCAAAUGUUCUUCAAGGUUGCAUCCUCAGCUACAAGCUCUUCAGGUUCAGGUUCAUGCUUCCAGUCCUUGGUGCUUUCCAUGAUCAUAUCAAAAAUCAAGCUUCUUACAUCGCGAUUCAUCCUGGUUUGAUUAGAAUGACAAAGAAGCUGUCAUAUUCCCAAACAGGAAAACUGGGAUCACCUGAUUUGAAAGUGGGAUAGCUUCUUCAUCCUAACUCCUAUGAGAUUUAUUCAGCUUCCUGGUGAUUCUCCACUACUUUAUGUUUCAAAAUGAAGCUUCUUACUUCGCGAUUCAUCCUGGUUUGAUUAGAAUGACAAAGAAGCUGUCAUAUUCCCAAACAGAAAAACUGGGAUCACCUGAUUUGAAAGUGGGAUAGCUUCUUCAUCCUAACUCCUAUGAGAUUUAUUCGACUUCCUGGUGAUUCUCCACUACUUUAUGUAUCAAAAUCAAGCUUCUUACAUCGCGAUUCAUCCUGGUUUGAUUGGAAUGACAAAGAAGCUGUCAUAUUCCCAAACAGGAAAACUGGGAUCACCUGAUUUGAAAGUGGGAUAGCUUCUUCAUCCUAACUCCUAUGAGAUUUAUUCAGCUUCCUGGUGAUUCUCCACUACUUUAUGUUUCAAAAUGAAGCUUCUUACAUCGCGAUUCAUCCUGGUUUGAUUAGAAUGACAAAGAAGCUGUCAUAUUCCCAAACAGGAAAACUGGGAUCACCUGAUUUGAAAGUGGGAUAGCUUCUUCAUCCUAACUCCUAUGAGAUUUAUUCAGCUUCCUGGUGAUUCUCCACUACUUUAUGUAUCAAAAUCAAGCUUCUUACAUCGCGAUUCAUCCUGGUUUGAUUAGAAUGACAAAGAAGCUGUCAUAUUCCCAAACAGGAAAACUGGGAUCACCUGAUUUGAAAGUGGGAUAGCUUCUUCAUCCUAACUCCUAUGAGAUUUAUUCAGCUUCCUGGUGAUUCUCCACUACUUUAUGUUUCAAAAUGAAGCUUCUUACAUCGCGAUUCAUCCUGGUUUGAUUAGAAUGACAAAGAAGCUGUCAUAUUCCCAAACAGGAAAACUGGGAUCACCUGAUUUGAAAGUGGGAUAGCUUCUUCAUCCUAACUCCUAUGAGAUUUAUUCAGCUUCCUGGUGAUUCUCCACUACUUUAUGUUUCAAAAUGAAGCUUCUUACAUCGCGAUUCAUCCUGGUUUGAUUAGAAUGACAAAGAAGCUGUCAUAUUCCCAAACAGGAAAACUGGGAUCACCUGAUUUGAAAGUGGGAUAGCUUCUUCAUCCUAACUCCUAUGAGAUUUAUUCAGCUUCCUGGUGAUUCUCCACUACUUUAUGUAUCAAAAUCAAGCUUCUUACAUCGCGAUUCAUCCUGGUUUGAUUAGAAUGACAAAGAAGCUGUCAUAUUCCCAAACAGGAAAACUGGGAUCACCUGAUUUGAAAGUGGGAUAGCUUCUUCUUCCUAACUCCUAUGAGAUUUAUUCAGCUUCCUGGGGAUUCUCCACUACUUUAUGUAUCGAAAUCAAGCUUCUUACAUCGCGAUUCAUCCUGGUUUGAUUAGAAUGACAAAGAAGCUGUCAUAUUCCCAAACAGGAAAACUGGGAUCACCUGAUUUGAAAGUGGGAUAGCUUCUUCAUCCUAACUCCUAUGAGAUUUAUUCAGCUUCCUGGUGAUUCUCCACUACUUUAUGUUUCAAAAUCAAGCUUCUUACAUCGCGAUUCAUCCUGGUUUGAUUAGAAUGACAAAGAAGCUGUCAUAUUCCCAAACAGGAAAACUGGGAUCACCUGAUUUGAAAGUGGGAUAGCUUCUUCAUCCUAACUCCUAUGAGAUUUAUUCAGCUUCCUGGUGAUUCUCCACUACUUUAUGUUUCAAAAUGAAGCUUCUUACUUCGCGAUUCAUCCUGGUUUGAUUAGAAUGACAAAGAAGCUGUCAUAUUCCCAAACAGAAAAACUGGGAUCACCUGAUUUGAAAGUGGGAUAGCUUCUUCAUCCUAACUCCUAUGAGAUUUAUUCGACUUCCUGGUGAUUCUCCACUACUUUAUGUAUCAAAAUCAAGCUUCUUACAUCGCGAUUCAUCCUGGUUUGAUUAGAAUGACAAAGAAGCUGUCAUAUUCCCAAACAGGAAAACUGGGAUCACCUGAUUUGAAAGUGGGAUAGCUUCUUCAUCCUAACUCCUAUGAGAUUUAUUCAGCUUCCUGGUAUGAUUUUAGAGAGUUGAACAGGUAUUGAGAGAUUUAGAGAAAGAUUAAAGUGAGAUGAGAUGAUUUAUGAGAUGUAGAAGAGAAACAUGAUGAACUAGAGAGAGAAUAUGAUGAACUCGUGUUAAUCAUUAAUCAAGACAGAGUUUACAAUAUAUAGAGAGAGACAUCAGAAGCACUAAGCAUGUGAGGUCAAGGAUAAGGUUGCUUUAAUUUGAAUGUAAACCAAUGGGGAAGAUCACACGCUUAUGGCAUCUUUUGGUGAGACUCCUUUUGCCUUUACAGCCUGUGCCAGACUGUCAGGAUAAGCCGCGGUCACUCUAUCCAUCCAAACGGUCAUAUCUCCUAAGGUAAAACCCCUUUGGCCGUUUACCUCUCUUACCCGGGUAACUUCUCUUCUUGGUCGAGUUAUGGAUCGACCCGGACAGUACGGACGGUACGGCCGGUACGGCCUCUUGUACGGCCUGGUCGAUCCCUAACCUUCCUUCCCUUUGCCUCCACAUUCUCACAUCCUCAACUCCCUAAGCCAUCUUCUCACAUAUUGAUCAACUUAUUUCAACACUCCCCCUCAAGCUUAACUUAAUAACGUAGUUAAGCUUGGAACAACCAUGAGAUCUUCCUCAUUAAAAACCUCACCAAGGAAAACCCAUUGGGACAAAACCUUGAUGAGGGAAAAAGAGUGAAGACCUCAUGGCAAAGGGGAUCAGCUCCUUGGGGAAAGAUCUAUGAGCCCCAAUCUGGUAUGAAUGGACUCCAUAGUCUUUUGUCUUGCAGCCUUGGUGAACACAUCCGCAAGUUGAUCCUCACUCCUUGUGUAGCAUGGCAAGAUCACUCCCAAGACAAUCAUCUGCCUCACCUUGUGACAAUCAACUUCAAUGUGCUUGGUUCUCUCAUGGAAGACUGAGUUGGUUGCAAUGUGUAUAGCCGCUUGAUUAUCACAAUGCAUAGUCAUUGGAGUUCCCUGCUCUAUCUCCAAGUGCUUCAAGAUUCCUUUGAUCCAUACCAACUCAUUGGUAAGUUUCAGCAUUGCUCUAUACUCAGCUUCAGCGCUUGAACAAGACACCACCUUCUGCUUCUUACUCUUCCAAGUCACCAAGUUACCUCCAAUGAAUGUACAAUAGCCAGUGGUUGAUCUCCUGUCUGCUCUAUCUCCAGCCCAGUCCGCAUCACAGUAUCCCACCACUUCAGUGCUCUUGUUGCAUCCCAUCCACACUCCAAGGCUUGACGUCCCAUUCAGAUACAAGAGAAGUCUCUCCACCAUGCGCCAGUGAUGAUCCUUUGGGACUUGCAUAUGCUGGCUCACUUGGUUCACCGCAAAGCAUAUGUCUGGUCGUGUGAUUGUAAGGUAGAUGAGCUUCCCUACUAGCUUCCUGUACAGCUUUGGAUCAUGAAAGGCCUUGCUAUCUUCAACCUCCCCCUCACGUGGAACCUUGUAUCCAUCUUCAAGAGGCAUCUUUGCUGUCUUGUCUCCUUGUAUACCUGCAUCUUUCAAAAGAUCAAGUGUAUACUUCCUUUGGGAAAUGAACAAUCCUUCCUUAGAUCUACACAACUCAAUUCCAAGGAAGUAUUUCAUUUCCCCUAAGUCUUUGAUUUCAAACACAGAUUUCAAAAACUCCUUUGUGGCUUUUAUACCAGCCUUAUCACUACCUGUUAUGAUAAUGUCAUCAACAUAUACAAGUAGACAGAUGAUACCUGAAGGUGUAGUGAGGGUGAAGAGGGUGUGAUCCAACUCUGAUUUCUUGAACCCACGCCCAUUCAGAGUAGUGCUCAGCUUGUUGUACCAUGCUCUAGGUGAUUGCUUUAACCCAUAGAUUGCCUUCUUAAGUCUCAAUACAUUCCCUGGUUUCACCAGAUGCUCUAGGCCUGGUGGUGGAUGCAUAUACACUUCAUCCUCUAGCUCUCCUUGAAGAAAGGCAUUCUUCACAUCCAUUUGCCAAAGCUCCCACUCAAGGUUCACAGCAAGAGACAAUACAAUUCUUAUUGUAUGUAGCUUGGCAACGGGAGCAAAGGUAUCAAUGUAGUCUUCCCCAUAUGUUUGAGUGUAUCCUCUAGCCACCAGUCUUGUCUUCUUUCUCUCAAUGGUUCCAUCAGGUAGAUACUUAAUGGUGAAUAUCCACUUGCUGGUUACUGCCUUCUUUCCUUUUGGCAACUCACUUUCAAACCAAGUGUCAUUCUUUAUCAUGGCAUUUGCUUCAUCUCCAACAGAUUCCUUCCAAUCUUGAUGUAGCAUUGCUUCUUCAUAUGAUCUUGGUAUACUACUUUCAUCUAGGCUCAUCAUGAAUGCGCAAUGCUCCUUUGGAUAACAAGCAAAUGAACACACAGCCUGGGAAGGAUGCUCCACAGCCUGGGCAUUGUAGUACACUCUCGUGUUUACCCAGUUGGAAGCAUCUCUCUUCAGCCGUGUGCUUCUCCUUAAUGGUACCUCAGCUGGUGCUUGCUCUGGUGCUUCUACUUCAGUACCUUCCACUCCUCCUUGUUCUGGUAGCUCAUUAGGCUCUUCAUUACUUGGUUCAGCUCCACCUUGAUCAGGAUGAUCCGCAAAAUCUUGAUUCUCAUCCGGCUCAAUUCCAUUCCCUCCCUCAUGAUCAAGGUGAGAUGGUUCUUCAGCUUCUUGUCUUUCAGAUGACUGAUUCUCUGUCGACUCCUGGGACAUUCCAAUUCCAAGACCUUCUAGUAUCUGUCUCAAGCUUGUAGCUCUAUCUGAAGGUUGUGAAAGAUCCUCCAGCUCUUUCCAAUCUUUAUCUUCAUAGUAGCUCUUCUCUUCAAAGAACUUGACAUCUCUUGAUACAAGAACUCUCCUUGACUCAGGAACAAAGCACUUGUAUCCCUUCUGUGUGGUUGAGUAUCCUAUCAUCAUAGCUUUGAUACUCUUUGGUGUAGCCAUGAGUAGAGACAUUGGAGAGCUGAGUGAGUCUGAUGAGGGAGAGCCAGACUUGAGAAGAGAAGAGCCAGACUUGAGCAGAGAAGAACCAGAGCCAGACUUGAGCAGAGAAGAACCAGACUUGAGCAGAGAAGAACCAAAUGAGCUAGCCAGCUUGUGGAGUGGACCAGUAACCAGAUCAAGACUGAGAGCACAAGAGGAGAGGCUCCAGGAGAUAGCCAAAACCGUGGGCCUUGGUUCAAGACAAGGAGAUCAAGAUAAACCAGCUUGUUGGUUUAAUUUAAUUACUUUGUAAGGGUUUUGGUUAUUGGGCUUUCAUUUAAUUUAAACCAAAGACAAUUAGGAUUAGAAUUAGAAUUAAACCACCUUGGUUUAGCAUUAGGGUUUUCGAUUUUCACUUUAAGAACAUGGGGGCUGCAGCCUUGUUUUCUCAACUUUCAAUCUAAGAAUUAUUCAGUCAACUUUGUUGUCUUGUCUCUAGCUUUCUCUGUUCAGCUCUAGAACAUUGAUCUCACUUAAAGGAAGGAAUUCCUGUGAAUCCCAUCUUAGACAAUACAAGGUGAUCUUGUGUCUUUGAGUAGCAAACCAUCCUUGGCGCCAACCCAUAGGCUCAGGGAGACGUCCACAGUUCAAAGGAGAGCUAGUAGCCUCUUAGAACAUCCUCUAUCCAUCCACCUUCAAGUGAUCCAGAGUUUAAGCCAUACCCAGGCUGCACCAAGUGGUAUCAGAGCCACUUGAAGGUUAGGGUUUGCAAUUUGACUACUCAGAUCAUUCAUUCCAUCAAACACUUCUCUUAUCUUUCUAUCUGUUGUAAGCCAGCUGAGCCAACCCUGCAAAUCAAAAAAAAAAAAAAAAAGAAAAGAGAUCUCUGAUCCAAAUCAAAAAAAAAUAUAUAGCUGAAGAGUAAUCCAGCUAGCUGAGGAGAAAUCCAGCUCAGGGUGGUAAAGUCAGCUGGUGCCUAAAUCUCUUAAUACUUCCUAUCUGAUUCAUUGGGGUUUUAGUUCUAGAUCUUAAGUGUAGAACUUUGUUUUUCAACUGAACUUGUGGGAAGAGCUGAGACUUGGCGAUUUGAAAACUUGAGUGAGAGAGAGAUAUAAUUUUGUUCCUGGCUUUGUGUUUUCUCUAACUAUUUCAGGAACAAUGAGUGAAGAGAGGCGAGAUGGAAAGCAACCUGAGAGUUCAGGAGAACCGGCUGUCCAGCAAAUCAACCUCAACCAAGUUCAAUUUGAGGCUAUGAUAGCUGAGAUAACCAGAAGAAUGCAAAACACUUACAACCGUGUUCAACAAGCUAAUGAAACUUUACCUGGUGAUAAUGCAGGGCAAGAGAGGGACGCGGUUGCUGCUGGAGUUCAGAGAGCACGCAUUGGACCUAUAAGAGGGCAACGAGUUGAGCUUAGGGGUCGUGGGAUUUAUGGAGAACAUUAUCAAGAAGAUUCAGCUGAUGAAAGUGAUGAUGGAUCUCAGGCUAGUCAUCAUGGUAGAAAUCACAACCGCAGGCGACCAGCUACUGAUAACCUAGGCAAUCUCAAGCUUAGAAUCCCUCCAUUCCAUGGGAAGAAUGAUCCUGAUGCUUACUUAGAGUGGGAGAAGAAGAUUGAACUGGUUUUCAAUUGCCAACAGUUCACUGAGGAGAGGAAAGUGAGACUAGCAGCUACUGAAUUCUGUGGUUAUGCUAUUAGCUGGUGGGAUCAGAUUGCUACUACCAGGAGACGCAAUGGAGAGCCUCAGGUAGCUUCAUGGUUUGAGAUGAAAACUGUGAUGAAGAAGAGAUUUGUUCCUAAUCACUAUGGAAGAGAUCUACACCAGAAGUUGAGAAGGCUUUCUCAAGGAUCUAAGAGUGUAGAGGACUAUCACCAGGAGAUGGAAACACUCAUGUUGAAAGCUGACUUAGAAGAAGAAGUAGAAGCUACUAUGGCUAGAUUCCAAGGAGGUCUUAACAGAGAUAUACAAGAUAGGUUGGAGCUACAAGAGUAUGAGGACAUGGAUGAACUGCUACAUAAGGCUAUUUUGAUUGAGCAGCAGAACAAGAGGAAGAGCUCUACCCGGUCUUCAUACACCCCUGCCUCAAAACCGGCCUACUCCAAGGAAGAUAAGCCAGGGGAUAAGUCCAAAGAAGGGUCUUCUUCAGUGGAGAACAAGAGAGAUGACAAGGGUAAAGGAGUAGCCACACCUACUAAGACCAGGAACAUUAAGUGUUUCAAGUGUCAUGGCUUUGGUCACUAUGCUAAUGAGUGCACCAACAAGAAGGUGAUGACUAUCUUAGCCGACGGGGAGGUGAUAUCUGAAGAGGAGGACGCCGGCCAAGAGUCUGAUGAGGAAGGCGUGGAGUACCCUGUCCGUGGAGAGCUAUUAGUCACCAGGAGACUUCUCAAUGCUCAACCUAAACCCAAAGAAGAUGAGCAAAGGGAAAACUUGUUUCACACCAGAUGCUUGAUUCAAGAAAAGGUUUGUAGCUUGAUCAUUGAUGGAGGAAGUUGUACUAAUGUAGCAAGUGCUGAGUUGGUGGAGAAGUUGGGUCUUCAAGUGUUCAAGCAUCCUAAGCCAUAUCUGUUGCAAUGGAUCAAUGAUGAGGGAGGAUUAAAGAUCACCAAGCAAGUGAAGGUAUUGCUAUCAGUGGGAAAGUACCAGGAUGAGAUCACUUGUGAUGUAGCACCCCUGGAAGCUAGCCACAUCCUUCUUGGACGUCCAUGGCAGUAUGAUAAGAGAUCAGUACAUGAUGGCUUUACCAACAGAUACACUUUUAUCCAUAAGGAGAAACAAGUUACCCUGGCGCCAAUGACCCCUCAGGAGGUACACCAGGAUCAGAUGCAUCUCAAAAUGAAGAGAGGAGAGUCCAAGGCCGCCAGCAAAUCCUUGCUUCUUGAAGAGACCAGCCAGGUAAGUAAACUCAACCUCUUUGCUACUGCUAAAGAUAUCAAAACUGCUGUGAUUGAACAAUCAAAUUUGAUACUAGUAGUUUACAAAGAAUUGUUGAGCUCUACUACUAACCCUGCUCCUGAGAUUCCAGAGGAGAUUGAGUGUCUUUUGCAGGAGUAUAGAGAUGUGUUCCCAGAGGACAAUCCCAUAGGUCUGCCGCCUAUUAGGGGAAUAGAGCACCAGAUUGACUUUGUACCAGGAGCUACUUUACCAAACCGUCCAGCAUACAGGACCAACCCUGUGGAGACUAAGGAGCUUCAGAAACAAGUCAAUGAGCUAAUGGAGAAGGGACAUAUCAGGGAGAGUAUGAGUCCUUGUGCUGUACCUGUCCUCUUGGUGCCAAAAAAAGAUGGAAGCUGGAGGAUGUGUGUGGACUGCAGAGCCAUCAACAACAUAACAGUUAAGUACAGACAUCCUAUUCCUCGCUUAGAUGAUAUGCUAGAUGAGUUACAUGGUUCAUGUGUCUUUUCUAAAAUUGAUUUAAAGAGUGGUUACCACCAGAUUAGAAUGAAAGAAGGAGAUGAGUGGAAAACUGCCUUUAAAACUAAGCUAGGAUUGUAUGAAUGGCUUGUGAUGCCUUUUGGGCUUACUAAUGCACCUAGUACCUUCAUGAGAUUAAUGAAUCAUGUCUUGAGAGCUUUGAUAGGACGAUUUGUAGUUGUUUACUUUGAUGAUAUCCUGAUUUACAGCAAGACUAUGAAAGAACAUGUUAAUCACUUGAAGCAAGUUCUAGAUGUGCUUAGAAAAGAAAAUCUGUAUGCUAACUAUAAGAAGUGCUCUUUUGGCACAGAUAACCUUGUCUUUUUAGGUUUUGUUGUGACUUCACAGGGCAUACAGGUUGAUGAGGAAAAGGUGAAGGCUAUCAGGGAGUGGCCGAUUCCUAAAUCUAUUGGAGAGGUCAGAAGUUUUCAUGGACUUGCUGGCUUCUACCGGAGGUUUGUGAGAGAUUUCAGUACAGUUGCAGCACCCCUGACUGAAGUAGUCAAGAAGAGUGUAGGUUUCACUUGGGGACCAGCACAAGAAGAGGCAUUUCAAAUGCUAAAAGAGAAGUUAACAAGUGCUCCCUUACUUGCACUUCCUGACUUUUCUAAGACUUUUGAAAUUGAAUGUGAUGCAUCUGGUAUUGGAAUUGGAGCUGUGUUGAUGCAGGAUAAGAAACCCAUAGCUUAUUUCAGUGAGAAGCUAGGAGGCGCCACCUUAAACUAUCCUACCUAUGACAAGGAGCUGUAUGCCUUGGUGAGAGCUUUACAAGUGUGGCAACAUUACUUGUGGCCUAAGGAGUUUGUGAUCCAUACAGAUCAUGAAUCCCUUAAACAUCUCAAAGGGCAACAGAAGCUGAACAAGAGACACGCCAGGUGGGUGGAGUUCAUUGAGACCUUUCCUUAUGUCAUUCACUACAAGAAAGGUAAGGAGAACGUAGUGGCUGAUGCACUCUCCAGAAGGUAUACUCUUUUAUCUUCAAUGGAAACUAAACUCUUAGGAUUUGAACACAUCAAAUCUUGCUAUGCUAAUGAUCCUGAGUUUAAAGAUGUGUUUAGAGAAUCUGAGAAACAUGCUAGUGGAAAAUUCUAUCAAGUAAAAGGAUUUCUUUUCUAUGAUAACCGCCUGUGUGUUCCUAGUGGUUCUUUGAGAGAAUUGUAUGUUAGGGAAGCUCACGCAGGAGGGCUGAUGGGACACUUUGGGGUCGCCAAAACACUCUCCACCUUGCAGGAGCACUUCUACUGGCCGAGUAUGAAGAAAGAAGUGGAGCGUGUGUGCUCAAGGUGUGUCGUGUGCAAGCAAGCCAAGUCUAAGGUCCAACCAACAGGUUUGUAUACACCUCUCCCUAUUCCUACUGCACCAUGGAUUGAUAUCUCUAUGGACUUUGUCUUAGGAUUGCCUAGAACUAGGAAAGGAAGAGAUAGCAUCUUUGUGGUUGUUGAUAGAUUUUCUAAGAUGGCUCACUUCAUACCUUGUCAUAAAACUGAUGAUGCAUCUUUGGUAGCUGAUCUAUUCUUUAGAGAAGUUGUUAGAUUGCAUGGUAUGCCUAGGACUAUAGUUUCUGAUAGAGAUACUAAGUUCCUUAGCUAUUUCUGGAAAACUCUGUGGGGAAAGUUGGGAACUAAGCUAUUGUUUUCAACUACUUGUCAUCCCCAAACUGAUGGUCAAACUGAAUCAGUCAAUAGGACAUUGUCUACUCUUUUGCGUGCCAUCAUUAAGAGUAACAUUAGGACAUGGGAGGAUUGUUUACCACAUGUAGAGUUUGCAUAUAACAGAGCAGUGCAUUCAGCUACUAAACUCUCUCCUUUUCAAGUUGUUUAUGGGUUUAACCCAUUGUCUCCUCUUGAUUUAUUUGCUUUACCUUUAAAAGAACAAACUAACCUUGAUGGCAAGCAAAAGGCCGAGUUUGUUUUGUCUUUGCAUGAACAGGUCAGGAAGAACAUUGAGGAGAGGACCAAGAUGUAUGAGAGGCAGAAGAACAAGGGGCGCAAGGAGCUAGUACUUGAACCGGGUGAUCUUGUGUGGAUUCACAUGAGAAAAGAGAGGUUUCCUGUUGAGAGGAAAUCAAAGUUGCUGCCAAGGAAAGAUGGACCUUUCAAAGUGCUGAAGAGAAUCAACAACAAUGCCUACCAGAUUGAUCUUGAAGGGAAAUACACAAUCAGUUCUACUUUCAAUGUUUCUGACUUGGAUCCUUUUAUUGCAGAUGAUUUGGAUUUGAGGUCAAAUCCUUUUAAAGGAGGAGGGGAUGGUGUAGCCAUGAGUAGAGACAUUGGAGAGCUGAGUGAGUCUGAUGAGGGAGAGCCAGACUUGAGAAGAGAAGAGCCAGACUUGAGCAGAGAAGAACCAGAGCCAGACUUGAGCAGAGAAGAACCAGACUUGAGCAGAGAAGAACCAAAUGAGCUAGCCAGCUUGUGGAGUGGACCAGUAACCAGAUCAAGACUGAGAGCACAAGAGGAGAGGCUCCAGGAGAUAGCCAAAACCGUGGGCCUUGGUUCAAGACAAGGAGAUCAAGAUAAACCAGCUUGUUGGUUUAAUUUAAUUACUUUGUAAGGGUUUUGGUUAUUGGGCUUUCAUUUAAUUUAAACCAAAGACAAUUAGGAUUAGAAUUAGAAUUAAACCACCUUGGUUUAGCAUUAGGGUUUUCGAUUUUCACUUUAAGAACAUGGGGGCUGCAGCCUUGUUUUCUCAACUUUCAAUCUAAGAAUUAUUCAGUCAACUUUGUUGUCUUGUCUCUAGCUUUCUCUGUUCAGCUCUAGAACAUUGAUCUCACUUAAAGGAAGGAAUUCCUGUGAAUCCCAUCUUAGACAAUACAAGGUGAUCUUGUGUCUUUGAGUAGCAAACCAUCCUUGGCGCCAACCCAUAGGCUCAGGGAGACGUCCACAGUUCAAAGGAGAGCUAGUAGCCUCUUAGAACAUCCUCUAUCCAUCCACCUUCAAGUGAUCCAGAGUUUAAGCCAUACCCAGGCUGCACCACUCUUUGCUUCCAGCUUAUUUCUCAUCUCUCCCGGGAUAAGAACAUAGCUUACACACCCAAACACUCUUAGGUGAUCUAGGACUGGCUUGCUGUUGUUGAGAACUUCAUAAGGAGCUUUAUCUUCCAGAAUCUUGGUUGGAAUCCUAUUGAUUAGGUAGCAAGCCGUGAUCACAGCAUCACUCCAGAAUCUCUUUGGCACUCUCAUCUGGAACAUCAUUGAUCUAGCCACUUCCAUAAGAUGUCUGUUCUUCCUCUCAGCCACUCCAUUUUGUUGAGGUGUAUAAGGGCAACUCGUUUGGUGAAGUAUCCCAUGUUGAGCUAGAUGGUUCUUGAAUGCAUGGCCAGUAUACUCUCCACCAUUAUCAGACCUGAAAAUCUUAAUCUUGGCAUUAUACUGGUUAGAAACAUAUGAUUGAAAGUUUCUAAAUGCAUCUAGAACCCUAUCCUUUGUUUUAAUUAGUGUUAUCCAGGUGUAUUUGGAUUUCUCAUCUAUGAAUGUGACAAAGUAUUUGUAAUUGUCCCUAGAUAAGCAUGGAGCAGUCCAUACAUCAGAAUGAACAAGAUCAAAGCAUUUAUCAUAGAUAGUAGUAGAUCUCUUGAACACAGUCUUACAAUGUUUUCCCAAAAUACAAGCUUCACACUCAUUAUUUUUAAACAUGACACCUGGUAACAUUAAGCUUAAGGCUCUAACAUGUGGAUGUCCUAGCCUAGAAUGCCACAAUGCACCUCUACUUAGAACGGAACUCAACAAGCAACUAGAACUAGAAAUGAUAGAAAGGUCUUCAAGUAAAUAAAGGUCUCCUUUGGUUACUCCUUGCCCAAUCAACUUACUGCUUUCAAUAUCCUGAAAUUUCACAUCAUUAGGACUGAAAAUAACAUUGCAUUGAAGAUCAUUGGUGUUGAAAUGAGUUGAUCAAUAUGUGAGAAGAUGGCUUAGGGAGUUGAGGAUGUGAGAAUGUGGAGGCAAAGGGAAGGAAGGUUAGGGAUCGACCAGGCCGUACAAGAGGCCGUACCGGCCGUACCGUCCGUACUGUCCGGGUCGAUCCAUAACUCGACCAAGAGGGAAGUUACCCGGGUGAAAUGGUUAAACGGCCAAAGGGGUUUUACCUUAGAAGAUAUGACCGUUUGGAUGGAUAGAGUGGCUGCGGCUUAUCCUGACAGUCUGGCACAGGCUGUAAAGGCAAAAGGAGUCUCACCAAAAGAUGCCAUAAGCGUGUGCCCCUCCCCAUUGGUUUUCAUUUGAAUUAAAGCAACCUUAUCCUUGACCUCACAUGCUUAGUGCUUCUGAAUACCCUAAUGUCUCUCUCUAUAUAUUAUAAACUCUGUCUUGAUUAAUGAUUAACACGAGUUUAUCAUAUUCUCUCUCUAGUUCAUCAUGUUUCUCUUCUACAUCUCAUAAAUCAUCUCAUCUCACUUUAAUCUUUCUCUAAAUCUCUCAAUACCUGUUCAACUCUCUAAAAUCAUAUGGUAUCAGAGCCAGGUUGGCUUUGGUAUUGAGAUUUAGAGUGUUCUUCAGCUUCAGUUCAUACUCUUUCAUACUUUCUUUUCGGUUCUAACAAAGCAAGAUGGAGGGAAACUACAAGGUCAUUACAGUUCCUGUUGCGUUGAAGGGUGGUAGUAACUACCUGUUGUGGUCAAGGCUGGUGAAGACAGCCAUUGGGAGGCUAGGGCUGUGGAGUCACAUCACGGAUGAUGCAACCAAGCCAGUGGCUAAAGACGGAGAAGGAGAUGAGGGUGUGGGAGAUCAAGUUGCUGCUGCCGAGAAGGCCGAGAAGAAGUGGAUUCAAGAAGACUUGAUGGUGCUUUCCGUGCUACAAGGGUCCCUUGAAGAGCAUCUCUUGGAGGCCUACAGCUACUGCGAGACUCCAAAACACCUGUGGGAGGUACUCCAGAAGACAUUUGGGAACGUUACCAAUCUGAACCGGGUGUAUGAGAUUAAGAAGGCCAUCAACACACUGGUACAAGAUGGGGAAGAGUUCACCAAGCAUUUGGGCAAGUAUAGAUCCUUGUGGUCUGAGCUUGAAUCAUUGAGGCCAAGCACCGCGGAUCAAGAGCUACUCAUGGAGAGGAGGGAGCAGGAUCAGGUGUUUGGAUUACUGCUGACACUAGAUCCCCCAUUCAAUGAUGUGAUCAAGCACAUGUUGAGGAUGCCGAGUCUUCCAUCUAUGGAGGAAGUGUGUGCGCAGAUUCAGAAGGAAGAGGGGUCACUUGGUAUGUUUGGAGGGAAAGGAGACAUGGCUCUGUCCAACAAGGCUGAAGCAAUCCAAGCAAACAAGGCUGCUUACCGUGGAGAGGAAAGGAAGUUCAGUGGAAACUGUGACCAUUGCAAGAAGCCGGGACACAAGAGGAGUCAGUGCUGGAUCCUACACCCCCAUUUGAAGCCGGCCAAGUUCAACAAGGAGAGAGAGGGAAGAGCUCACCUUUCUGCAGAGACAAGUGAAGCUGGCGCAUCAGGAGCUGGCUCAUCUGGUCUUGCGGGUGAAAGUGAAGGAAGAGCCUUAACCUCUCACCACCAAGGAGCUGUGAAGAACAUGGAUCAUGAGGUGAUCAAGAAGUCAGACAUUGAUGCCUUGAUCAAAGCCCUUAAAGAGUGAUACAAGCCUAAGCUAUCAAAGGCUGUACGUUCCCAAGCAAGAGAGAAGGAGCCGAUCUAACACAAGGGUGAUCCGGAUGGACUGAUCUAAUCAACCAAGGGAUCUGAACUGGAACUGUAUGAUGGGAUGAAGUGCACCACACGAGAGAUGGGGAGGCUCGUGAUACAACACAAGGUUCCUCUAGGCCGUGGAGGUACUGGUCUCACAAGGCAAAGAGAAGGAGGCGAGUUCUAGCUUGAGAGCUCUAGGGUUUUCUUUAAAAGAAAAGUUUAUGAUUAUUCAAAGUCUGCCCCAAAAGUGGGCUUGCGAAAACAUAUAAAUAGGACUAAGGGAACAGGCUCCACUUAGGUCACGAAAGUACAAAUAAGGAAACAAACUAUAAUGUAAAACAUGAAAUAAGGUCAUGAGGCUUCUUAGCCUUGGAUCGAACUUGGCACUUGGGAUAAGUGUGAAGCAAGUUGUGGCCUCGUUAAAAACCUUCUCUGGAAAACCCAUUUGGGACAAAACCAAGAGUAAGGGAAAAAGAGCACACACAAAGAGCUUGGCCUAGUUGCUAGAUUCGUCCAAGAGACUUGCUAGGCAAGUUGAUCUUCCAUGGUAAUGAUCAUCAGGUUGGUGUGGCAUUGCUCCGGGAUGAAUGGCCACAUAUCCUCACUUGAUGCUUGUUUCUCCUUAACCGGUUCUGCAUCCUUUAGUUCAUCUUGCUUCAAGCUUGGUUCACCAGCCAGUUUAACCUGUCCAAGAUCAGAAGCAAGUAUCAUGCUCUCAUUAAAUUUAUGUUGAAGUACCUUAGCUCUUUGUCUAGUGAUAGCUCCCUUGAAUACGGUUGGUACUGGCACUUCUUGGACUGUCUCUGAUUUGGUUAUGUUGCUGAUCAUGUCCUGGAUAUCAGGUUCAGUUAAGUCUGGUUCCGGCUCUGGUUGAAUAUCCUCAUCAUUCCCUCCCUCUUCAAAAGGUUUUGACCUCAAAACUGGUUCAUCUGCAAAACAAGGAGAUAGAUCAGUAACAUUGAAAGUAGAAGACACAUUCAACUCACCUGGCAGAUCAAGACGGUAGGCAUUGUUGUUGAUCCUCUCAACAACUUGAAAUGGGCCGUCCCCUCUUGGCUUCAGCUUGGAACUUCUCUGGUUAGGAAACCUUUCUUGCCGCAUGUGUAACCAAACCCACUCCCCUGGUUCAAAUACAAUGUCCUUGCGGCCCUUGUUGGCAUGUUUAGUGUACUGCUCAGUCCUCUUCUCUAAAUUCUCUUGAACCUUCUGAUGGAGUUCUUUGACAUAAGCAGCUUUAGCUUCCCCGGUAAGACUGACAACUUCAGCUGGGGGUAAUGGUUUAAGAUCCAAAGGGGUUUUCGGGUUGAACCCAUAGGCUGCCUCAAAGGGGGACAUCUUAGUGGCUGAAUGCUGAGCUCGGUUGUAUGCAAAUUCGAUGAAUGGAAUACAAUCAACCCAAUUCUUCAUGUUCUUCCCAAUGGUUGCCCUAAGCAGCGUAGAGAGCGUCCUGUUGACAACUUCAGUCUGCCCAUCAGUUUGGGGAUGGCAAGUAGUAGAGAAUAGCAACUUUGUUCCCAACUUCUUCCAUAGUGUUCUCCAAAAGUGGCUGAGGAACUUGGUGUCUCGGUCAGAUACAAUAGUCCUUGGCACCCCAUGUAAGCGCACUACCUCCUUAAAGAACAGAUCAGCAGUUUUGGACGCAUCAUUCACCUUGGCACAAGGUAUGAAGUGUGCCAUUUUGGAGAAUCUGUCCACGACAACAAAGAUUGAAUCCUUGUGAUGAAUUUUUGGUAAUCCUAGGACAAAAUCCAUGGAGAUGUCUACCCAAGGAGCUGUAGGAAUCGGCAGUGGCAUGUAAAGGCCAUGAGGCUGGACUCUAGACUUAGCCUUCUUGCAAGUCACACAUCUGGCGCAAUGAGAUUCUACUGAUUUCUUAAGAUGCGGCCAAUAGAAAUGUUCCCUGACCACAGCAAGUGUCUUAUCUACUCCAAAGUGACCCAUGAGCCCUCCUCCGUGAGCCUCUCUAGUGAUUAGAUCUCUCAAGGAGCAUUGAGGAAUGCAUAAUCUCCUGCCCUUGAAAAGAAAUCCCUCAUGCAAGUAGAACUUUCCUUGUGGUCCUUUGGUGCAACUUGAGUAGAUAGCAGCAAGAUCCGGAUCUUCUCCGUACAAACUUUUGAUGAACUCAAAUCCCAACACCUUUGCUUCCAUGGUUGCAAUCAAAGCAUAUCUCCUGGAGAGUGCAUCUGCUACAAUGUUCUCCUUGCCCUUCUUAUACUUGAUAAUGUAGGGAAAUGUCUCAAUAAACUCUAACCAGCGAGCAUGUCUCCUCUUGAGAUUGGUUUGCCCUCUUAGAUGUUUAAGGGUUUCAUGGUCAGUGUGUACCACGAAUUCUUUAGACAGCAGGUAGUGCUGCCAUGUCUCCAAAGCUCUCACCAAGGCAUACAACUCUUUAUCAUAGGUCGGAUAAUUAAGAGCUGCUCCACCAAGCUUCUCACUGAAGUAAGCCACGGGUUUUCCUUCUUGAAUAAGAACUGCCCCUAUCCCAAUCCCUGAUGCAUCACAUUCUACUUCAAAGGUCUUAUUGAAGUCGGGUAAGACCAGUACUGGUGCAUGGGUCAGGCGAUACUUCAAGGUCUGAAAGGCUUCCUGUUGAGCUUUUUCCCAAAUGAACCCAAUACUCUUCUUCACCACAGCAGUAAGGGGUGCAGCUAUACUACUGAAAUCCUUGACAAACCGCCUGUAGAAGCUAGCUAGGCCAUGGAAACUUCUAACUUGGCUGAUGUUUGUUGGAGUCGGCCACUCUUGAAUGGCCUUAACCUUCUCUUCAUCAACCUGUAAGCCCUGUGAACUCACAACAAAACCUAGGAAGACAAGUUUAUCAGUGCAGAAUGUGCACUUCUUGAGGUUUGCAUAAAGCCCUUCUUGUCGAAGUGUCUCUAGUACUUGCUCAAGAUGUGUCACAUGAUCAAGUAAACUAGUACUGUAAAUUAAAAUGUCAUCGAAAUAAACCACAACAAACUUACUGAUGUAUGGCCUAAGAAUGUGGUUCAUGAGACGCAUGAAAGUACUAGGAGCAUUGCUAAGUCCAAAUGGCAUCACCAACCAUUCAUAUAGACCUUGCUUUGUUUUAAAAGCUGUCUUCCACUCAUCUCCCUCUUUCAUUCUUACCUGAUGGUACCCACUCUUAAGAUCAAUCUUGGAGAAGAUGGUGGCUCCGCUUAGCUCAUCUAACAUGUCAUCAAGCCGUGGGAUGGGGUGUCUAUACUUGAUGGUGAUGUUGUUGAUGGCUCGGCAGUCUACACACAUUCUCCAUGUCCCGUCCUUCUUUGGUACAAGUAAGACAGGCACAGCGCAAGGACUGAGACUCUCCCUCACGUAUCCUUUGUCUAAUAGGUCCUGCACUUGUCUCUCCAACUCCUUAGUCUCUUCCGGGUUCACCCUAUAAGCCGGUUUGUUUGGCAGGGCAGCUCCUGGCACAAAAUCUAUCUGGUGCUCAAUGCCUCGGAGUGGGGGUAAACCGUGCGGAAUCUCCUCUGGAAACACAUCUUUGAACAUGUCAAGAAGCUUAGUAAUCUCUGGAUGAAGAGUUAACUCAUCAGAACCUGCACUCAAAAGCUCCUUAAAGAUCAUUAGUAGCAUUGUGUGUUUGGUAGUAGCAGCCUUUCUUACACAGCUAGAACGGAUAAGAAAGUUUGAUUUAACAGACUUUUCCUUUUCCUUAACCAUUUGCAAAUGAAUUUCAUGAACUUGUGUUGGAGUGAGAGGCGCUAAGCUUAUCUUACGCUUAUCAUGCAUGAAUGUAUACAUAUUAGUUCUACCAUCAUGCUUAGUUUCUCUAUCCCACUGCCAUGGUCUUCCUAGCAAUACAUGUCCAGCUUGCAUAGGGACUACGUCACAAACUACUUCAUCUUGAUACUUACCAAUGCUAAAUGGAAUGCUCACUUGUUCCUUAAUUUUAAGCUCAACCUUAUCAUCUAACCACCUUAGCCUAUAUGGAUGCGGAUGCUUUGUCUUUUCUAAACCAAGUUUUUCUACCAUGUAAGCGCUAGCAGCAUUGGUACAAGACCCACCAUCUAUAAUAAGGUUACAUACCUUGCCUUUUAUGGUGCAACGGCUGUGGAAUAUGUUUUCUCUUUGGAUUGUCUCGGCGGGUUGAACUAAGACGCUAAGCACACGUCGGAUCAUCAAGCUCUCUCCCACAUCAGCAUAUUCAACUUCUCCAUACUCUUCUUGAAUCUCAGGUACUUCUCCUUCAUCACGAGAUUCAUAGCCAUCAUCGGUGAGCAGCAUAACCCUCUGGUUUGGGCACUCUCUUGCCAUGUGCCCUCGGCCUCUACAUUUGAAACAGGUGAUGUCUCUGGCACGUUGGGGGUUGGUAGCUUUGGCUGGCUCGGUUUUGUUGUCCUUCGUGGGUUCGGUGGUGCGAGGCUUAGGCCGGCUGUCUCCUUCAACCCCUUUUCCUUUGUCCACCGACUUGUUGUAGUUGCUAUUGCUUGAAUUCCAAGAAACUUGAGACUUGCCCUUGGAGCUCUUCUUCUUGAUGUGUUGUUCAGCUUGGAUAGCUAGAUGGAACAGGUCCUUCAUGUCAGCAUAAACAUGUCUCUCCACCUUGCAGCUUAUCCUCUCCUGUAAACCAUCAAGGAAUUGAGCCAUGGUAGCUUCCUCAUCUUCAUUAAGGUCCAAACGGUUUCUUAAUUUCUCAAACUCUUCAUAGUACUCUUCCACUGACUUGCUGCCUUGCUUGAGUGCCCGUAACUUCCUUUGCAAGUCUCUGUGAAAGUGUUGUGGCACAAACCGUUGCUUCAUCGCAUCUUUCAUGUCUAGCCAAGAGUCUAGUUGCCUCAAUCCGUUCCUUCUCCUAUCGGAGCACAAUCUAUCCCACCAGGAAAGUGCAUUGUCCGUGAGCUGAGCUACUGCCAAAGCAACUCUUUUAGGACCAGGGUGGUUAUAGUAGGCAAAAAUGUGAUCCAUCCUUUUCUCCCAGUCUAGGUAAGCUUCUGGAUCAACCUUCCCCGCAUAGCCGGGAGCAUUCAUCUUGAUGUGCUCUGGCCCUUGGUUAUAGUUUUGUUGGCGUGGGGCUCGGUGUUGAGGUAGGAGUUCCUCUUCUUCAAACCCUUGGUGCCGGUUUUGCCUGCGUGGAGCUCGGGGUUGAGGUGCAAACCCUUCCUCCUCUUCUUCUUCACCAUAGUCAUCUGGUGGCAACCCUGCUCUCUGGUUUGGUAUUGGACCGUGCUGCUGUCCCGUGUCUUCAUCAGUCUGCUGGUUCCGGGUGCUAGUCUCCGGGUUGUCAUGGACGGGCACUCCAUAUCUUCUGUUGUUUGGAUUCAAGAACCUAUCAACGUUCCGUACUGGUUGCAAAGGAGGAGGUCUUUGCUCAACUCUAGUCAUCCUUUCCCCAAGGUCUUGCCGCAUAACCCUCAUCUCUUCUCUCAAAGCGUUGAGGACUUGCAUCAUGGUAGCUUGCUCACUCGCUUCUCCCAUGUAUGCGGUUGAGUUGUACCUUGCAAGAUAAACAAGAGAUGCCUUAGCUUUUCAAUAGGUAAAUAAGAAAGAAAACGAGAAAGAAAAGAUACAAAUUUCCUUUUUUUGUUUUUUUUUAUAAAUUCGAAUAGGCAAUAGACACUAAUAAAAGCUGUAGUAGUAAUAGAAUUGGAAAGACUUGGAAAAGGUGAUCGACCGGGAAGGAAACAAUUUGAAAACUCUUUGCAAAAAUGGAAACCGAAUUAUGCAAUCCUAGCAACACGUUUUUAUUUUUUUUUUUUUUUUUUGACUUGAUGAAGAUUAAAACUAAGCAGAACAGGAUGUAACAAUCGGAUGCAAGCAAGAUGUGAAGAAAACAACUAAGUGCAACAAUGAAACGCGAUCUCUUUAUUUGGUUUUAUGAUUUCAUGAAAGCAGAAACAAUGAAUCACAAAUCGGAUGCAAAUAGAAGAGACAAGGAUAGAUAUAACCUGAUGCUGAAGGAACUUCAGCUCUGAUACCAGAAAUGAUACAAGCCUAAGCUAUCAAAGGCUGUACGUUCCCAAGCAAGAGAGAAGGAGCCGAUCUAACACAAGGGUGAUCCGGAUGGACUGAUCUAAUCAACCAAGGGAUCUGAACUGGAACUGUAUGAUGGGAUGAAGUGCACCACACGAGAGAUGGGGAGGCUCGUGAUACAACACAAGGUUCCUCUAGGCCGUGGAGGUACUGGUCUCACAAGGCAAAGAGAAGGAGGCGAGUUCUAGCUUGAGAGCUCUAGGGUUUUCUUUAAAAGAAAAGUUUAUGAUUAUUCAAAGUCUGCCCCAAAAGUGGGCUUGCGAAAACAUAUAAAUAGGACUAAGGGAACAGGCUCCACUUAGGUCACGAAAGUACAAAUAAGGAAACAAACUAUAAUGUAAAACAUGAAAUAAGGUCAUGAGGCUUCUUAGCCUUGGAUCGAACUUGGCACUUGGGAUAAGUGUGAAGCAAGUUGUGGCCUCGUUAAAAACCUUCUCUGGAAAACCCAUUUGGGACAAAACCAAGAGUAAGGGAAAAAGAGCACACACAAAGAGCUUGGCCUAGUUGCUAGAUUCGUCCAAGAGACUUGCUAGGCAAGUUGAUCUUCCAUGGUAAUGAUCAUCAGGUUGGUGUGGCAUUGCUCCGGGAUGAAUGGCCACAUAUCCUCACUUGAUGCUUGUUUCUCCUUAACCGGUUCUGCAUCCUUUAGUUCAUCUUGCUUCAAGCUUGGUUCACCAGCCAGUUUAACCUGUCCAAGAUCAGAAGCAAGUAUCAUGCUCUCAUUAAAUUUAUGUUGAAGUACCUUAGCUCUUUGUCUAGUGAUAGCUCCCUUGAAUACGGUUGGUACUGGCACUUCUUGGACUGUCUCUGAUUUGGUUAUGUUGCUGAUCAUGUCCUGGAUAUCAGGUUCAGUUAAGUCUGGUUCCGGCUCUGGUUGAAUAUCCUCAUCAAAGAGUCUGGUAACACCCUUGGAAACACCCUUGGUUAUUCCUAUACUGCUCAUGUGUUGCCUAGAACUUGUGAUAACUUGCUAGGACACUUUGAUAGGAUGGGAAAUGAACCUGAUAGAUAUACAACCUUUGCUGCUGAUAGGAUGUCUAGAAAUGAAUCCACAUUGCUUGAUCUCAUUGAUAAAUUGAAACUGGUAAAAGAAUCACCUAGGAAUCAUAUUGCUCAAGGAAUAAAACCAUUGAUUAUUGAUUCAGGUGCUUCACACCAUAUGAUAAGUGAUGAUAGCCUUAUAAAGAACAUAGAACCGGCUCAUGGACAUGUAAUGAUUGCAAAUGGUGAUAGAAUUCCUAUUAGAGGUGUAGGAGACUUGAAACUGUUUAAUAAGGAUUCUAAAGCUUUGUACAUGCCUGAGUUUACUUCUAAUCUAUUAUCUGUUAAGAGGUGUACCAAUGAUCUUCAAUGCAAUGUUAUUUUCAGUCCUAAUGAUGUGAAAUUUCAGGAUAUUGAAAGCAGUAAGUUGAUUGGGCAAGGAGUAACCAAAGGAGACCUUUAUUUACUUGAAGACCUUUCUAUCAUUUCUAGUUCUAGUUGCUUGUUGAGUUCCGUUCUAAGUAGAGGUGCAUUGUGGCAUUCUAGGCUAGGACAUCCACAUGUUAGAGCCUUAAGCUUAAUGUUACCAGGUGUCAUGUUUAAAAAUAAUGAGUGUGAAGCUUGUAUUUUGGGAAAACAUUGUAAGACUGUGUUCAAGAGAUCUACUACUAUCUAUGAUAAAUGCUUUGAUCUUGUUCAUUCUGAUGUAUGGACUGCUCCAUGUGUUAAUCAGAGUUGAGACAUUUGAGGUAAAGACACAAAGGAGUUGAGAACAUAAAGAGAGCAAAGAGGUGAAGAGGAGGAAUGGGUUGAUCAUCCGUACAAGGCCGUACAAGUGAUCAUCCGUACAAGGUAAAAGGGAUCAAGUAACUAUCCAAGUAACUCCCAUGUACUGAGCUUAAGUUACACUCGGCCAAGACCUUAUCCGAACGUUGAGAGGAUAAGGGAGACGCGGCUUGACAGCUAGGACAGGCUGGCAAGAGCUGGAAAGGAAGAGCAUCUAGUCUUGGAUCAAGAAGAUGCUCCAAACGUGUGAAGACACUCAUUGGCCGGUUCAAAUUAAAGCUUAGGCUCCUCUUUGACUCUACAUGCUUACUUAGCUUUAUGAUUUCGAAAACCCUAAGUGUAUGGACCUAUAUAUAUGUAAUCUCAUCUCUUAAUAAAGAUUAGACAGUUCUAAACAAUCUUUCUCUUUACUCAUUUCAUCAUGAUUCUUCAUUAGUCUCUAAUCAGUUUCGUAAAUCUCUUAUUCUCUUCCUUAAUCCUAUUCUAAACUCAGAUUAAUCUUUAUAUUCCUAAAAGUCAUAUGGUAUCAGAGCCAGGUUGAUUACAAUCUGAGUUCGUGAGUGAUUCUCUUAAGGAUUCAAGUUUGAAACUUUAAGAGAACAAGUGAGUGUGUUUGAGAGUUUCUUGAGAGUUCAAAAGCUCAAGGUGUUUUGUGUGUGUCUUGGUGGUCCGUGGGAGGUUCAUUUGAAGACUCAAGAGUGAAUCUGUGUUCUAGAGAGCAGCGUGGGUUCUCAGUUCAAGAUCUAACCGGUUGUUCAAGUUUUAAACGUCAAGCUGUUCAAGAUGGAGAGUGGCAUGAAGAUGAAGGUCGCGGUGACAUUCAAAGGAACCAACUACCUAGUCUGGUCUAGGAUGGUGAAAACUGCUGUGGGAAGCAAGGGUUUGUGGAAGCAUAUCACAUCUGGUGAGGCUCCAAAGGUGAUUACUCAGGGGGGUGAAACGGAGAGUCCCGAGGAGAGCGUUGUAGAGAAGUGGCAACAAGAAGACAUGAUGGUGAUGUCUGUCCUACAUGCCUCUUUGGAGCCGGCUAUACUAGAUGCUUAUAGCUACUGUGAGACAGCCAAGGAGCUGUGGGAUACUCUACAGAAAGUGUAUGGAAACACUUCUAACCUGAACCGAGUGUUUGAAGUCAAGAAGGCAAUCAAUGGGUUAACUCAAGAUGACACGGAGUUCACUUGAUGAGAUCCUAGGAUGAUGCUCUGGAACAGAUGGGAUAAUCCUUGCAGAAACGAAUCAAAAGACUCAAGCUUCUCAAGGUAUGUGGAUCGAAUGGUGACACAAGAGGCUGCGGAAAGGCUUCUUGAUACUCCUAGGCUUAGAUCGGAUAUGACACACCUCUCUAAAGCCCUUGGGCGUUGGAUAUUACACACCAACAGACUGGAUAUUACACACCAGACACACUUCAACUCGUCCAAGACAAGAGAGAAGAGAGAAAAGGGUUUUUGAUAAAAGAUUGCUUAAUGAUAAAGGGGGGGUCACGACCAGAAUAUAAAGAGAGGCCCUUGUACAUGCACAAGGUCUCGAAAAUAGAAAUAAAAAUAAAGGGAACAGGCUCCCUUGGAAACUAAACAAAGACCAAGUUUUCGAAAUUAUUCAAAACAUAAAACAUAUGAUAAAAUAACAUAAGAUAGAUAAUGUGGUUGGUCCGGGAUCAUCAUCUAGGAGAUGUGAAAGUAAACUUGUGGCCUCGUUAAAAACCUUCCUUUGGAAAACCCAGUGGGACAAAACCAAAGGUUAGGAAAAGAGCACACACAAGCUACUUGCCUAGAUGAUGAUUAGCUUGAAGGUGGAGUAGCUUGAAUUGUGGUGAGUGUGUCUUGGUUGAUCAAGCUGCAACCAAGACAAUCUUCUUGCUUCCUUGACAUCUUGAGUAUUUCUCCAUCAGCUUCAUUGAGUUUCUUUGAUCUGGAACAAGUGUUGGGACCUUCAGGAAUGGCUAGGGCAUCUUCAUCUACAAGCUGGUCCAUGAUCACAUCAUCCCCUCCCUCUUGAAAAGGAUUUGACCUCAAAUCUGUUUUAUGUUGGGCUCUCCAUACUACUGAUGCAUUCCUCAAACCUGAUUUACAAACAAUGAAAUAAAGCAAGUUAGUAUAUGAAGAUUUAUCAAAGAGUAAGAGUCUUAUCCCAAAGAGGUUUUUGCUCGGUUUUGGAUGGUAGGCUGCAUCUGGGGGUGCUUCUUUGAUGAGGACGAAGCCAGGGACGCCUUUGUGCUUAUCCUGGUCCAGAUCAGGUGGUUUGAAUCUCUUGUCUUCCUCACGCUUGUAGUUUCUUCUUGUAUGCUUCAAGGUUUCAUCAUAAUCUGCACAUGGCUCUUUUGACAAAGAAAAGUGCAUCAUAUCUGUGUAAACAAUACAAAAAUAAUUCUUGAAGACAUGAUCAAUUACCUUAGGAUGCUCACCUGGUCGCCAUAGAUAGGAUUGAGAUGUUUUGAACUCAGAAAAAUUCAAACAAAGCACACAGAGGAUCAGCCGACUUGUAGAACCCAUAACUCUUUCAUCGGAGAAGCUUUGGUCAUGAUUCCAAUCCGACGUGAGACCCUGAUGAGUUAAGUUUCCAUGGCAGUCGAUUUUGCUGAUUAAUUCCUUGUGGUGAUUGAGAUAUGAUCCUCGGACUGCUCCUAUGUCGAGACUGGCUGCUAGACAGCUUCCAAGGUUUGCUUGUUGUGUCUCCAACUUAGCCAAGGACUCAUCAUUGAUACUCUGAUAACUAUAGGCCCUCUUUUCGAAAAGUGUAGAGCUCAACACAGUUUGACCUGUUCGAACAGCAAGCAAAUCAGGUUUCAUAUUUUUCUUUGAGUUUAGAUAGAUACCUCGGGUUGGUUGCUUUGGAGUUUGUUGUAAGCUAUGUUGAUCUGGUGGUUUCUCUUUGAUUUGAGAAGAAAACAUGAGUUCUUCUCCUGAUCCAGUAAUCACUUCACCAUUUUCUCCAGUGAAUCCUCCAUCUCCACUCAUGGUUUGAUAGUCUUUGUAAUGGUGCUGAAGCUGCUGCAUAUCAGGUGGUUUCCAUAUCUUGACAUGGCCGAGAAGCAAGGAGUUUUGAUCAGCUUCCAACUCUUUAUUGCCCCAACUGGUUCUACUACGAGCAGAGCACUCUCCAAGGAUGAUAAGUAUUCUGGAAUAUGCUCCAGGUUUCCACAAGUAGAACUGUAACCUUCCACCCCAAUCUGAUAUAAGCAGCUCACAGAAUUUGGCUAAACCGAUAUGUUUUGCGGAAUUGACAAUAUCUUGAUGAUCAGGAGGCCAUUUGCUGCGUUUUCUGGUUUGUUGGAUCCAGGAAAGAGUGGGUAACAUUCUCCAAUUGGUUUCGUAGUGAAACUCUUGCUGAUCUGAGACGUGCAUCCCAUUAGCUUCAGAGGGUAAAAGAUCACCAAAAACAAUUGUUGUUGCUGCCGAUUUCUUCUCAAUCACUAUGGGAUUGUUCCUGUGAUUCCACAACUCUCCUCCAGGCUCAAAUACAACAUGUUCCAUGCCCAGUUGGUGUCUUGAAAGCUCUACUGCUCUGGUCUUGUUCCACACAAAAGGACUGAUGAGAAAAGUACCCAAGAAUGUCCUUUGUGUGAGAAUAGACAGAUUAUGGUGUGUGAGUGUUGUUUAGAACAGAGAGUGGUCGGAUUGAAAGAGAACAGAGUGAAGACAGUAAGUGAGAAUUAAAGAGACUGCAAUGGAGCAAAAAAGAGAUUAAGUGAGAUUUGAGAGAGUAUGAGAGAGAUUCUUGUAACCAGAGAUUAGGGAGAGUAUAAGAGACUUGAGAAUGGUGAAGAAGAAAGGGGAAACUCCCCCAUUCAGCUUAAUUUCGUAAUGGUUACAAUGGGGUGGCUUUAUAGCCAGAUUACAAGUUGCAAGUGAUUAAACAAUUGUUAAAGUACAGAAUUACUAAACUAAUACUAUUGUAGGGUUUCUGAUGGAGCCAGGAGGAUGCAGCCAAGGAGAAUCUCGACCAGAGGGAGUAGAGAGUGACAGGAGAGAGAUGGGCACAGUCUGGUUGGGUGAAAGUGACAGCAGGCUCAUCUCCUUAUGCACAUGUGACUUUUAUCUUAAUUAAUUCUCCAACUUGCCAGAUCUCUCUCCAACGGUCUCACACUUAAUUUAAACUUCAAAUAUGCUUCAGAAAGCUCAGCUGGACGAGUUCCCCACUUGCCUUGACUUCCAAGACACUCUAGGUUAGGUUUGGUUACUUGCAAGCCAAAACUGUACGGACAGAUUCAAAUCUGCUUGUUCCGGAUUUGCUUGCUCUUGAUGCUUGGUCUCUUCAUCAACUCCAGCUUCUUACUUCUUCAUUCCAACACUCCCCCUCAAGCUUGACCAUAGGAGAUCCUUGGACAAGCUUGGAACCUUGAAGAAGCUCCCUCAUUAAAAACCUUAGCAAGAAAACCCAUUGGGACAAAACUUGCUAAGGGAAAAAGAGUGGAGUUUCCACAAAGCUUAGGGAUUGGCCAGUGAGCCUAAAGGAACUUCAGAUUCAUCAUGGUGGAGUCCUUAGGCUCUGGAUCGUGGCCUAAUAGGUAUAGCAAGUAUGAAUCACCAUAACUUGCUAUUCUUGAGCACAAGUAGCCGGCUGGAUCAUUUUGUGGCCGGUUUAGGGUCUCCCCCUCUCAACUGGCUUCAAGCCACCUUAGGAAGGCAAGGAAACGACCAGACCAUCUUCUCUGAACCCCCAGCAAAGUUACUUGUUCUUUAGAACUUGGCUUGACCUCUUCAUGGAACCAUAGACUCGGUUAGGGUCUCCCCCUCUCAACUGACUUCUUUGGCCAUCUUAGAAAGGCUAGGACAUGACCGGAUCAUCAUCACCAUCUUCAGUGAGGCUCAAGCUUAUUUUGGUACCUGAUACAUCAUUUCAAAAGUGCAUCAGUUCUUAAGGAAAUGCACUCAUCACAUCAAACUCAAUAAUAGUUUAAGUAUAAGGACAAUCAUGAAUGUAUUGAGAUGAGUUUAAGGUGCUUCCCUUUUAUAAAAAUGGUCAGGAGUGGACUCCAAUUGAAUCCCCACUUGGUAAGACACAGUCCGGAUUAUGGAAGCUCAAUCACACACUUGGAACUGAGCUUCUUUGAUCCGGUUGGUACUGAGUAAUGCACGAGUGAAUCCACCACUUGCAAACUCCACUUUUGAUCAGAGGUGAGGCAAUGAACGACUUGGAUUGGCGCCAGUUGCUUCACCGUCAAAUCACCUUUGAGCUUCUUCUUAUGACCUGAGCUUGUCUCCCCCUUUCUUCUGGCUUCUUGCCUCCAUUUAGGAGUUGAGACAAAGCUUUUCUUUGUUCAUGAGCUCAAUAGGUACCUGAUUCAAUCAUCCAAAAAAUGCAUGUAUCAAUUCUCAAGGGGCAAACCUAUUCACACAUAAGAAUAAUAAUGGUUUUAGGUACUUCCCUUGCAUCAGUUUGUUGAAUGUUGGUGAGGAUUACUAAGCACUUGAAUCCUCCACGCCAUUCCUUCUCUCAACCAGCCUUUGCAUUGUUCUCUUGAAGUUUCAACAUGUAGGGGGACUUUGCAACUCCAUAAUUUGCCACCAUCAUGUGAUUGCUUAGCCAAGAAUGUCCCUGAUUGAAUAAUCCUUGCAUCUGGCUGGUAAGAACAGUGAGGAGUGACAGCUUCUUCAGUUUGAUCACUUAAGUCCUCUUUUAAUUCGCCAACCUCUUGCUGGUCUUCUAUGAGGAAAUGGGACACUGGAUACAGUAAGCUUCAUGGAUCUUUUGGUAGCUCACUGAUAUUCCCCUCCUCAAGCUUGACUGAGUAUAGUGACAAGCUUGAACGUGAGCUUCAAUGAGUUUUGAACUGGGAGCACAACAAUACCAACAUCUGCGCUUAAGCCAACCAGUUCACCAUCUUCCAGGAGCACAACAAUACCAACAUCUGCGCUUAAGCCAACUGGAUCACCAUUUGCCUUCAGCUCCAAUGUCUUUGGACCACCAGUCUCCUCAUGACUUAGGUGAUGGCCUUCCUUGUGAGUCUCUUGAACCAGGAGCACAACAGCUCCUACGCCUGCGCUUAAGCCAACUGAUUCCACUCACAAGGUAUCUUUACAUGGUCAGGACUAAACACCUUGAUCCAUGCCUCUGACCACCGGCCACUCUUGGCUUAGUGAUGGCCUUUUCUCUUGAGUGCACCUCCUGUACAUCCUCUUGGCAUAAGGUAAGUCACUUCUGAGCAGUUUCUCCAAUUCUCCAACAUCCUUUCUAUCUUCAGGGUAGGAAAUGGGCAGACACAUAGAUAGGAUUUGGGACUGGGCAAUCUCCACGGUUCAGGAAUAUCCAUCUUGGGAGGCUCUGAAAAACGUGGGCAAUGCCUUCUUCUUUGUCUUAGUUUAAUGAUGGACAGAGAUCACCUCUUGUGUACCUGAAACAUCACUCAAACUCCAGCAAGAAUCAGACCACACACACUAGGAUCAGCCCUUGAUAAUUCACCAAGUCUGAUCCCAAUGUUUUAAGAGAAAGAAAAUAUGCAAUGAACAGAAUCUACACAACUCAUUCAGUUCAACUCCAUGCAUACUAACAUCACUAACUGCUCAGGUAUGAUAACUCAUCAAUAACAAGGCAAUUAGGCUCUUUUUAUGAAUUUUAAAGACAAUAAACAGAGACUAAACAACUCAUCUAAUCAUCUUGAACAAUAUAUAUAUAAUGCAAUACAAGAUCAGGAGACUCUCCUAGACCUUUAUCAAUGCAACCAGACAAUGACAGUAGCUAAACAAAUCGCCUAGCACAAUACAAACAGAAACAAUUAAUCUAGGACAGGAACUAGACAAUACCAUGCUAGAAAACUCCUAGAAGUAAUUUAAGAAACAGAGCAACACACACAAUUUAAGUAUCAUGGGACAGAAACUAGGUUCAACAACUCUAGCAACUUGAACCUGUCCCAAGGAUACCAAACACACCACUCAACACAACCAGACAUAACUACUCAAGCUCUUAUUACAGGUAGGAGGUUAACUUACAAACAAGGAACCUGAGCUGGUUCCUUGAACCUCCAAGGCACACUGUUCACUUGAACUUGACAGCUUUGGAGUUUGGGAUCUCUACCCCACGCCAUUUCCUUGUGUGUGCUUUCCCUUUAGACCACUCAUGCUUAAGACCCCUCCUUUCUUCCUGAUUACCAGGCGCCACCUUCUGGCACACAGUGAGAGACUCCACUUUGGGAAGAACUUGAAAAACACUUGUACAGACUUGGUUUGGAGCAUUGCUUGCCAAACAGCUCCAAAACCUUCUUUCUCCAAGAGAUCUCUUCAGGCUGAACAGGAGGAAGGGUGAUAGACCUUGGGAAGUCUCUGGACACGCCAUGUUUGUAGUCUUCUUCCUCUUGAAGAGAUUGAACAGCUGGCUGGACAGAAACUCUCCAAUGAUUUGAAAUAACAAUGAGGGUGAGCCUAUGCUUGAAUUGUGGAAGCUUUGAGUUUCAGAUACUAAAGACCUCCUUUAUCUUGAGUUCUGGUGAGUCUCUUCCCUCCUGGAAAAGCUUUAGACCAGAGGAUACGGAUGAACAGAAACAGAGAUUUUUUUUUUUUUGAAGAGAAGAAUGAACUGUAAUAGAUUUGCGGAAGCUCUAUGGAUUCUCAGGAGCUUGGAGCUCUGAUACCAUGUGAGAAUAGACAGAUUAUGGUGUGUGAGUGUUGUUUAGAACAGAGAGUGGUCGGAUUGAAAGAGAACAGAGUGAAGACAGUAAGUGAGAAUUAAAGAGACUGCAAUGGAGCAAAAAAGAGAUUAAGUGAGAUUUGAGAGAGUAUGAGAGAGAUUCUUGUAACCAGAGAUUAGGGAGAGUAUAAGAGACUUGAGAAUGGUGAAGAAGAAAGGGGAAACUCCCCCAUUCAGCUUAAUUUCGUAAUGGUUACAAUGGGGUGGCUUUAUAGCCAGAUUACAAGUUGCAAGUGAUUAAACAAUUGUUAAAGUACAGAAUUACUAAACUAAUACUAUUGUAGGGUUUCUGAUGGAGCCAGGAGGAUGCAGCCAAGGAGAAUCUCGACCAGAGGGAGUAGAGAGUGACAGGAGAGAGAUGGGCACAGUCUGGUUGGGUGAAAGUGACAGCAGGCUCAUCUCCUUAUGCACAUGUGACUUUUAUCUUAAUUAAUUCUCCAACUUGCCAGAUCUCUCUCCAACGGUCUCACACUUAAUUUAAACUUCAAAUAUGCUUCAGAAAGCUCAGCUGGACGAGUUCCCCACUUGCCUUGACUUCCAAGACACUCUAGGUUAGGUUUGGUUACUUGCAAGCCAAAACUGUACGGACAGAUUCAAAUCUGCUUGUUCCGGAUUUGCUUGCUCUUGAUGCUUGGUCUCUUCAUCAACUCCAGCUUCUUACUUCUUCAUUCCAACACUUUGGAAACCGUUUGAAUCAGUGACAAAUAGAUGCUCUACUCCACUGUCUGAUUUUGAUUCCAUGGGUGCCUCCUCUUCUAUUACAUCCUGUUUGAAGAGAAUCAGGUCGUCCUUGAUGGGUUGAUCAUCUUUCUGAAUGGUGAUUGUUGGAAUCUCGGUUUGAUCUUCUUGAACUAGUGCAGCCAAGUCUGAUUGUGCAACUGAGUCUGGUUCUGCAUCUUUGAGUUCUGAGACAGUUGAGGAAAGCGCUUGGUUCUGUACUUCUAAGGAUGGAGAUAUAGUCUUGGACUGUUUAAGUUGUUUCUCUACAUCCCUAAACGCUUGUGAAAUUGCCUUCCUUAUGCUAUCUUCAAAGGAAUAGGUUGAUGUUUUGCUUGAUGAAACCAGGUUACUAGAUGGACUUGAUCUCUUGCUGUCUGGUUGUUUCUGAACUGAUAAUGAAGAACAUAGCUUUGUCUCAGGCUGCUUUUGAAUAACUUCCUUGUGGUACUGUCUUGGAACGUACUCUCUACGCAUCAAAGCCCUCAGCUUAAGCCAUGUUUCCACUGGUUCUUUUCCAUCAAGUCUUCUGCACUUUAUCAACUGAUUCCACCAUCUUAAAGCAUGACCACAAAACUCAGCAGUAGCCAUUUGAAUCUUCUUUUUUUUAGCAUAGUGUUGACUACUGAAAAUCAACUCAAUCUUCUUUUCCCACUUCACAUAAGCUUCAGGAUCAGCCUGGCCAUGAAAAGAAGGAAUUUGAUAUUUCAAUCCAGCAUGCUUCCAGUUUCUGUCCAUCUGAUCAAACUCCUUUUUCUUGUACUCAUCUCUGGAUGAUCUGCCUUUCCUUUGCUGCUGUAUGUCUUGUCUGAAUUUUCUCAAUUGAUCUUUGCAGGCUUUAUCCAUACUGGCUGUGAAUUCUUCAAGAAAAAGCUUUUCUUUCUUGCUGAGUUCUCCUUUUUGAUCUCCUGCCAUGGUACCUGAGACAAGAGAAAGACUAAGCCAGUAAAUAGUUCUACAGAGAAAACAAAAAAAACAAUUUGCAAAAUCAGAGAUUCAAAUUGAAGCUUAAAACUUUAGACAAUUCUCAGAACAAAUUCAAACUCAACCAAUGAUUUAAAAGAGAUCAAAACUAAUCAGAACAGAAUUGAAAUCUUAAGCCUAUCAGAUCAGAUUGAUUUCGAAACUAGAACAAAAAAAUGGAGAGAUAGAUUUCGAUUUCAGAUUCAAGCACAGAUUUUUCAAAACAAAAAUAUCAAAACGAAAUCAAUCAAACUUGCACUACACGGAUUAGGUUUCAAAAUAUCAAUCAACACACGAUCAGAGAUGAUAUGAUAACAGAUGAUGAGAUUUAGAUCAAGCAAGAACAGAUCUAAAACAAUAAGAACAGAUCGACUGCAAUCAACAAACAGAUUCAGAUCAAGCAAUCGGAUAACUUGAUAAACAAGGAUCCGAACAGUCUAAUACCCAAAACAAGAUCUAAUUAACCCAAAUUCGAUAGAUUUCUUCACAAGGAACACAGAUCAACACGAAAUCAAAGAGUAUAUGAAGAGACUUCACCAGAUUCGUGAUCAAAAACACUUAGAUCUAACAGAUUUCAACAAUAGAAACACAAAUCGAUCAAAAUCUCAACAGAAUAUGAAGAGAUCAAAUCAAAAAUCAGAGAGAAAAAUCAAACACUUCCCUUCCAGAGUUGCUCUGAUACCACUUGAUGAGAUCCUAGGAUGAUGCUCUGGAACAGAUGGGAUAAUCCUUGCAGAAACGAAUCAAAAGACUCAAGCUUCUCAAGGUAUGUGGAUCGAAUGGUGACACAAGAGGCUGCGGAAAGGCUUCUUGAUACUCCUAGGCUUAGAUCGGAUAUGACACACCUCUCUAAAGCCCUUGGGCGUUGGAUAUUACACACCAACAGACUGGAUAUUACACACCAGACACACUUCAACUCGUCCAAGACAAGAGAGAAGAGAGAAAAGGGUUUUUGAUAAAAGAUUGCUUAAUGAUAAAGGGGGGGUCACGACCAGAAUAUAAAGAGAGGCCCUUGUACAUGCACAAGGUCUCGAAAAUAGAAAUAAAAAUAAAGGGAACAGGCUCCCUUGGAAACUAAACAAAGACCAAGUUUUCGAAAUUAUUCAAAACAUAAAACAUAUGAUAAAAAUAACAUAAGAUAGAUAAUGUGGUUGGUCCGGGAUCAUCAUCUAGGAGAUGUGAAAGUAAACUUGUGGCCUCGUUAAAAACCUUCCUUUGGAAAACCCAGUGGGACAAAACCAAAGGUUAGGAAAAGAGCACACACAAGCUACUUGCCUAGAUGAUGAUUAGCUUGAAGGUGGAGUAGCUUGAAUUGUGGUGAGUGUGUCUUGGUUGAUCAAGCUGCAACCAAGACAAUCUUCUUGCUUCCUUGACAUCUUGAGUAUUUCUCCAUCAGCUUCAUUGAGUUUCUUUGAUCUGGAACAAGUGUUGGGACCUUCAGGAAUGGCUAGGGCAUCUUCAUCUACAAGCUGGUCCAUGAUCACAU
rnacentral:lncRNA from 1 species